rnacentral:rRNA from 1 species
GACGAACGCUGGCGGCGUGCUUAACACAUGCAAGUCGAGCGGAAAGGCCACUUCGGUGGUACUCGAGCGGCGAACGGGUGAGUAACACGUGAGUAAUCUGCCCUUGGCUUCGGGAUAGCCACCGGAAACGGUGAUUAAUACCGGAUAUGCACUGCUGCUCGCAUGAGUGGUGGUGGAAAGUUUUUCGGCCAGGGAUGUGCUCGCGGCCUAUCAGCUUGAUGGUGAGGUAAUGGCUCACCAUGGCUUCGACGGGUAGCCGGCCUGAGAGGGUGACCGGUCACACUGGGACUGAGACACGGCCCAGACUCCUACGGGAGGCAGCAGUGGGGAAUAUUGGACAAUGGGCGGAAGCCUGAUCCAGCAACGCCGCGUGAGGGAUGACGGCCUUCGGGUUGUAAACCUCUUUCAGCAGGGACGAAGCGCAAGUGACGGUACCUGCAGAAUAAGCACCGGCUAACUACGUGCCAGCCGCCGCAGUAACAC